UGGCAGACAGGUUACAGGUCACAGGUUCCUGUGCAUCUGGCAGAGGCCAUAGCAGUUGCUGUCCAGCAUCAAACAAAUGCUGUCCUGCUUUAGCAAUGAGUUGGGAAGACGUUCCAUUGAGUAAAAUGAAUCUGCACUUUAAAUUCUACUGGAUGUGGAAGAGAGAAUUGGCACCAAGCAAGAGCAAGGAACCAGACAUCAGUUACGGAAAAUGUAUCCCCACAUCACAUCAUGGGAGCCUAGCUCACAGACACUGCCAAUGGAAAUUGCAGAAAUAGAUCAACUGCAAAAGGUUACAUAGGGGACCCGCAUGCUACAUUAACU
rnacentral:lncRNA from 1 species